rnacentral:lncRNA from 1 species
GGGAGCCAGGAUUCCCAGCACUUAGCUGGUGGGCAAAGGGGUUCAACCCCUUCCCCACACCCCACCUUCCCUCCUCCCAGUCUUCGGGAUUGCGGAGCUCCUGCCGGGAUCCAAGAGCAGGCUCUUGGAGGUCGAAGAAGGAUAUAACCUCCAGACCUGGAAUUUAAGACGCAAGAACCAGCCAGCAAAAGUGGCAGCCGAGCAUGCGAUUGUGUCAUACACUGAAGGAGAACAUAGAGUUCUGAGUCCUCAAUAGACACAUGUCAAGUACUACCUUGGAAACUGGGAAGAAACAACUUUGGACUUGACUUUGGUUUUAGGACCUUAUCGUGUGGGCAGGGGACUGCUGAUGGCUUUUUAUUAGGAAGCUAUGCAACUUGAGGUUCUACUGAAAAGGAGAAGAGGCCACUGGAGAUGGGAAGCCACGAAAACCCUCUCACUGGCAUGGAGCACAGCAAGCAGGCUAGGCUGGCUGGCUAGCGAUCUCCAUCCCAUCUAUCUUUGCCUUCUCAGCACCGGGAUUGCAUACACACCCAGAAUUCUUGGCAUGUUUCUUCAUCCUCUCCAUUUCAAGUUUUAUUUUUAUAAAAGGAAGAUAACAGUAAGAUAUCUAAUUUCAUUAAUGUUUAAUCAAGGAAGUUGUAAAGGUUUAAAUAUAUGUUCUAUUUUGAUUUAUCUCCUAGUGUGUUUCAAGUAGAACUUUCCAAGAUUUGAGGGUCAACUGUCAGCUUCACGUGUUUUAAAUUGACAUGUAUUUGUCCAGAUUUACAGAGUUCAGCAUAGCAAGUUAACGCAUGAUAUGUAAUAAAUGAUGAUCCAAUUGGGGUA